AUUGAACGCUGGCGGCAGGCUUAACACAUGCAAGUCGAGCGGGGGAAGGUAGCUUGCUACCGGACCUAGCGGCGGACGGGUGAGUAAUGCUUAGGAAUCUGCCUAUUAGUGGGGAACACCAUAUGGAAGGGAUGCCAAUAACGCAUACGGCCUAAGGGGGCAAAGAGGGGAUCUGUGGACCCUUGCGCAAUAGAUGGACCUAAGUCGGAUUAGCUAGUUGGUGGGGUAAAGGCCUACCAAGGCGACGAUCUGUAGCGGGUCUGAGAGGAUGAUCCGCCACACUGGGACUGAGACACGGCCCAGACUCCUACGGGAGGCAGCAGUGGGGAAUAUUGGACAAUGGGGGGAACCCUGAUCCAGCCAUGCCGCGUGUGUGAAGAAGGCCUUAUGGUUGUAAAGCACUUUAAGCAAGGAGGAGGCUACUCUAGUUAAUACCUAGGGAUAGUGGACGUUACUCGCAGAAUAAGCACCGGCUAACUCUGUGCCAGCCGCCGCUGUAA
rnacentral:rRNA from 1 species